CCUACGGGGGACAGCAGUGAGGAAUAUUGGUCAAUGGACGAGAGUCUGAACCAGCCAAGUAGCGUGAAGGAUGACUGCCCUAUGGGUUGUAAACUUCUUUUAUAUGGGAAUAAAAUGUUCCACGUGUGGGAUUUUGUAUGUACCAUAUGAAUAAGGAUCGGCUAACUCCGUGCCAGCAGCCGCGGUAAUACGGAGGAUCCGAGCGUUAUCCGGAUUUAUUGGGUUUAAAGGGAGCGUAGGUGGAUUGUUAAGUCAGUUGUGAAAGUUUGCGGCUCAACCGUAAAAUUGCAGUUGAAACUGGCAGUCUUGAGUACAGUAGAGGUGGGCGGAAUUCGUGGUGUAGCGGUGAAAUGCUUAGAUAUCACGAAGAACUCCGAUUGCGAAGGCAGUUCACUGGACUGCAACUGACACUGAGGCUCGAAAGUGUGGAUAUCAAACAGGAUUAGAUACCCUUGUAGUC
rnacentral:rRNA from 1 species